GAUAAUCAAAAAAAAAAAACAAUAAAAUAGGGAAAAAGAAUGAAAAAAAUCACAGAGGGAGGGAGGACUCAACACAACAGGUUCGGGCCAUAAAAUGCGAAGAAACCGUUUCAUUUUUCCUGACUUUUUGCAAAAGGUGUAAACACGAGGCCCCUGAGGUGGGAGGUAGUGCAUGUGGAAGUGGACGUAAACGUGGACAUGAAUGUGGAUGUGAGUGUGGACGUGAAUGUGAAUGUGGAUGUGGCGGAGGACGUGGAUGGAGGCUAGACACUUGCGCACACUAAACGAUUCGGUUUUCAGGUGUUAAAAACUACCUGUACCUGAUGCAGAGAGUCCGAUUUCGGAGCAUGAAAUCGCCGGCCGUGCUGGAAAAAUGCUGGAAAAAUGCCAUGAAAUGGGCUUUCGUCAAAUUAGCGUGGCAGCGUUAACCGAUGGAGGGAUGUGUGCUUCUAGAAUGAGUUUAGGGUACGAUGGCCCGGAUGCUGAGCGCAAAAUGCAUCUAACAGAUGCACCUUCUCUGUGGGAUAUUUCGCACUUUGUGCCUCACAUUCUAGAUUCUAGGUUUUUUUUUUGUUGUUGUUGUUGUUGUUGUUGUUUAGCUCUCCAUUCUGUUCGCUCGUUUGGGUCGUUUGCCCAUGUCUGUGCUACCUGCUGCCUUGAUUUAUAUAUUCUUACUGCAAAACUGCAUUCGGUUUUUAUCUGUAUCUGCAUUUGCAUGACACAAAACCUGGCCGGGGCCCUGUUAUCUAACUCGAAGAAUGCCCGUUCCCUCUGACUUUGGCACUUGAUCUACCAUAUACUACCAUAUACCGCUCAAGAUGAAGCCGAAUGCUGAAUGCAGCAUACUGAAUACUGAAUACUGAAGAGACUCCACUACGGCUGAGGCCUCAUAAAUUCUCUCGUCGUUUAGUUUUUACGAUUGUCGGCUGGCUUUGUUUGGCCGAGGCACACACAACUGUGGGCAAGGUAAUAGCACUUGUUGGGCCUUUGAAAAUGUAUUUCAGCGCAAGUGUAUUAUGUCACGAUUGUCCUAUCUAUUAGACUAGUAUAUUAGUAUAUUUUUAUAACCUCUUUCUAAUUAUGCUCAAAAUUAAAUAAAGUUAGAAGGUGGGUCGAAUUCCUACGAGAUUUGUUUAGUAGCAGGAUAAGCAAAAAUUCCUAAACCAAGUUGGAUUCUUUAGAUUACCAGUUUUAUCUAGCAAAUAAUAUAAAUGAGUAAGUGUUCUUAAUCAUACUUGUAAGUAACUAUUAUUCUGACCGCGUCUGUGAGCGCUAGCACACACAGAGCAACACGAACUCACAGAUACAGGCCGCUUGUAUCUUUCGACGUUGGCCUAUCUAAAUACAUGCUGAAGAGUUGAAGUGCCAGGGACCCCAAGCCAAAGAAACGGCAGCGACAACAGCCUCCUGCCAAGAUCUCUGCGCCUGCGUACUGUACUCGGAAACUCGGAAACUGGGGAACUUGGGAACUUGGAAACUCAGCACUCGGAGCAAUACCAAAACCAAGACCAAACUAAAAAGCCAAAGCCAAGACCAAGAAAAGACCCAGUCUGAGAUGAGAGGCUACCAAAAACUGGUCCCUGGGCCAAAGUUUGCGUGCUUUGCUGAAAUUUUUACGCUGGACCCGGCACCCGAAAACAAAAAAACUCUCUUUCAGCUCAGAGAAGAACAUUCAGGUAGUACCCCUUAGGCAUUUCAUAUUUUUGGCCAAUGUCCAGGAAUUGCGAUGAAUGGAGAGGUCGAGGGAAACAAGAACACGGCAUUAAUGAUGCAUUAAAAUGUAUUCAUAAAGGCGUGCAACUAUUUUAACGGUCUUUAGGUGCCCAUUCAGCUCUCGAGGAAUUCAGGAAAUGCCUGGAAAUAGCGUAUUAUACGAGAAAUGGACUGUGAAGAUUUAAUGGGUUUCUAGCUCGGGAAAUUCGAUACUACUCCGGGCAUAGUACGCUGGGCCACCCACAGCUGACGACCAUAUAUCUAAAUCUGAUCUAAAUCUAGCCAAGGGUUAUGGAAAAUCCCAAAGCCCGCAUAUCGGCCCACGAAAAUGUUGCUUUUAAUUAUGACACAUUUAAGAAAGCCACAGAUUUACGUCCGUAAGUUCACCCAAGCCCCUAAAUUGCUGUCGAGUCAUAAGUCGAGGGCCACAAAACUCCAAAAGAAAAGACCGACGCAGGGAGAUAGGGAUAGGAGAAAGGAGACGGAGAAGGGGAAGGGAAAGGAGAUGGAGACAGUGAGUGUGACUUGACGAAAGUACUUUCAUUUUCACGCUCAUAAAAUGGGACUACCAUUAAACUUAAAAAUGCCGUCGUAAAAACUUAAAAAUCAGAAACGUAGCAGCCAAGCGGCGGCCAAGUUAAGCGGCUUAAAUGACAUUUAAAUCAGUCGAAAUACCCAACGGGGGGAACAGAAUUUGUAUGGCCAAAACAGACAGGCGACACUGUAUGGAAAGGUAAACACUUGAGACUGAAGAUCCCUUUCACUGCACAGUGGACAGGACAGGAAGUUCGCACUUUGGCAAAGAUCGAAGAACCCCAAAAUGAGCAAUGGAAAUUAAAACUAUAAAGAAACCCCCGGCGAGAGGCCCAUUCCAGCACACGUCUUCUUCGGUUUCUCCCCGUGAUUACGCUUUAAUCUCGUUAUAAUGAGGCAGGAAAAUUGCUUGGCGGAUGUGCCGAGCGUGCCCGAAACGGGAACGGGAAUGGGAAUCGGCUUGGGAUUGGGAUUGGGAUUGCAAUUGGGAUGGGUACAUUUAGUAUGGUACAUGAGGUAUGGGCACUCGAAUCUGGAACCUGGAGCUGCGGUUGACAUCCUGGUUGCCAGCUGGGCAGCACUCAUCUCUCUCUCUCUCUCUGAUUCCCUAACUCGAGUGCAGCUGAGAUUAAAUUACCAGGGAAAAAACGUGGGGAGGACCAUCUCAAACGGGGACAGGCACAAUGCAAAAGGUAGAGACAAGCGGCAGACAGCAGAUACACUUGUUCGCGUAAUCUGUUCCCCACUUUUGUGUCCCCUCCCCCUUUUCGGAAAUAUGAUGCCGCCAAGGCACAGGUCGCAAACAAACCGAAGACACCGAAGAUCGGGAGGCACAAAAAAGGGUCCCAGGAAAGAGUUGUGCGAUAAGUGGAGCACACACACACACGUUUUAUUUGGGUCUCUCUUUUUUGGGUCUGAUAAGGCGAGCAUGAAUGAAGGUUGUUUUCUUAUAAUUCUGGGAAGAACUCAGAUGAUGGCUCCACUUAGUCCAUUAGCCGAGAGGAUGGAAACAUAUAGAAACUAAGUUAGAAAACACCCAUAAAAUCCAACUAAAGGAGGAAUGUUCCUAAUAUUCAAAUUCUUUAAAACAGAGACCUAUCUAAAUUAA